UACGGGGGGAGCAAGCGUUGUUCGGAUUUACUGGGCGUAAAGGGCGCGUAGGCGGCCAGCACAAGUCAGUUGUGAAAUCUCCGAGCUUAACUCGGAAAGGUCAACUGAUACUGUGCGGCUAGAGUGCGGAAGGGGCAACUGGAAUUCCUGGUGUAGCGGUGAAAUGCGUAGAUAUCUGAAGGAACAUCAGUGGCGAAAGCGACUUCCUGGACCAGAACUGACGAUCAGGCACGAAAGCGUGGGGAGCAAACAGG
rnacentral:rRNA from 1 species